CAGUCUAACAGUAGCCUUACAUAAGUGGAAAUACUUCAGGUAAUUAGUAUGAAUUAUAAAAUGGCUGCUAUGUCUGUUGGUGUGCUAUAUUAUUCUAUAACCUGCUGACUAUAAGUUCAGUGUAUCAUGUCGUGUGGGCUUUGUAUUUCUGUUAGUCUGAUAACACUGUACAGACAACUAACAUAUUAUUUCUCGUCUUACACUUUCAGGAACUUGACUGACAACUGUGCUUUGCCUGACACCCCUCUACACACUAAGCAUAUCGAGAUAACCGGCUUUUGUCUCGAGCACAUCACGCACUUUGAUGAGCGCGAGCAGAUUCCUUCUAGAACAUCAGACCGUUGGCUGUUAUUUGACACCUAAAUCGUAACUGCACAAGAUAGAAUGGCUUCAUCAAAGCAUCAUCGCAGUACCAGUGAGCCGUACACGAGGCUGCCACCCCUAACGGUCAAAGUGGUUUGUCUUAAAGAAACCCCUAAAGUCACUGGCUGGCAUUUCUCUGAUGGAAGUGCAAGGCCCAAAACUGUCCACAAUAAUACAACUGCGGCAGUAUGUGACGGGACAAAUGUGUUCAGAUUUGUGCUAUUCGAAAACUUGGCCUCCCAAAUUAAAGAGGGUAAAACCUAUACCAUUAGAAAUUUCAAAAUGGGCAAAUUUGGAAGCACGCGAUCAAUGCUUUCAAGUAAGGACACGGCAGUGUACGUCAGUGCACCCAUCCAAGUCAGUCAGCAGCUGGAGGACGAGGCAAGGCUGCUUCUGGGGCCACCCACCACCUUGACCCCACUGACCAACAUCAGCCAAUCACAGAUGAUGUACGUGACAGUGAAGGGAUGGGUCACAGCUAUGGAACCGUUGAAAAAAAAUUCAAAAGGGGCAGGAUCCAGCAAUCCCUUUGCAGAUCAUCAAUCUCAAAGAGGAUGAGUCAGAGGUGAAUGUGGCACUCUGGGGAGAGGCUGUGCUCACCCCAGUCUGUAUCGGAUCUCCGGUAGAGAUCAGUCACUUAAGAGGCAGCAACUCGCAGUCACAUGGCUUUGCUCUUCAUACAUCACCAUUUACUGUGGUUAAGCCUGGAAGUGGGAUCCAUGAGAUUAAGCCAAGAGGUUACAGAACCAUUGGCCAAGACCAAGAGGUCCUGGACUCCGAUGACAUUCCACACAUUGUGUCAUCUGAUGUGUGGCUAAAAGUGUUCCCAGACACCCCAGAAAUCCUCCCUUCAGUGAUCCUGCUGAAUUAUGAAAAGGGCACCGUAAUAGAUAUUCUGAUGCCAGAGGAGUAAUGCUCUUUAUUAUUUUCCCAGCAUUUUUAGUUAAUUAUCUAAUGUAUUUCUUUUUUUAAUCUGUUGUUUAUCUGUAAGUAAUUAGUUAAAGAUGAAAAUUAAAUAAGUUGAAAAAAAAAAUCAGUUAAUUAGUUCAUUGUUUUGUGGUGGU